rnacentral:rRNA from 1 species
UUUAGUGGCCAUUCCAUACCGAGAAUUCCCAGUCUCGUCUGAUCUCAGAAGCUGAACAGGGUUUGGCCUGGUUAGUACUUGGAUGGGAGACCACUGAGAAUACCAGGUGCCACAGUGA